rnacentral:rRNA from 1 species
UGGGGAAUAUUGGACAAUGGGCGCAAGCCUGGUCCAGCCAUGCCGCGUGUGUGAAGAAGGCCUUUUGGUUGUAAAGCACUUUAAGCGAGGAGGAGGCUACUUGGAUUAAUACUCUAAGAUAGUGGACGUUACUCGCAGAAUAAGCACCGGCUAACUCUGUGCCAGCAGCCGCGGUAAUACAGAGGGUGCGAGCGUUAAUCGGAUUUACUGGGCGUAAAGCGUGCGUAGGCGGCUUCUUAAGUCGGAUGUGAAAUCCCUGAGCUUAACUUAGGAAUUGCAUUCGAUACUGGGAAGCUAGAGUAUGGGAGAGGAUGGUAGAAUUCCAGGUGUAGCGGUGAAAUGCGUAGAGAUCUGGAGGAAUACCGAUGGCGAAGGCAGCCAUCUGGCCUAAUACUGACGCUGAGGUACGAAAGCAUGGGGAGCAAACAGG